GAUGAAGAACGUAGCGAAAUGCGAUAAGUCAUGUGAAUUGCAGAAUUCAGUGAAUCAUCGAAUCUUUGAACGCACAUUGCGCCCCCUGGCAUUCCGGGGGGCAUGCCUGUUCGAGCGUCAUUACAACCCUCAAGCUCUGCUUGGUAUUGGGCUCUGCUGGGACCGGCAGGCCUUAAAAUCAGUGGCGGCGCCACUCGGCUUCAAGCGUAGUAAUUCUUCUCGCUUCGGAGACCCGGGUGCGUGCUAGCCAGCAACCCCCAACUUUCUUAGGUUGACCUCGGAUCAGGUAGGGAUACCCGCUGAACUUAAGCAUAUCAAUAAGCGGAGGA
rnacentral:misc_RNA from 1 species